AGCCUUAAGAAUUAUUUAAGGUAAUACCUGCCCAGUGCGUGAUAAGUUAACGGCCGCAGUACCCUGACUGUGCUAAGGUAGCAUAAUAAGUUGGCUUUUAAAUGGAGCCGGGAAUGAAUGGAUAAAUGGGGCUAAGCUGUCUCUACUAUAAUUACUUGAAGUUAUUUAUUAGGUGAAAAUACCUACAAUAAGAAGAAAGACGAGAAGACCCUAGGAGUUUUUACUAACAAACAUUUAUGUUUUCCGUUUUUGUUGGGGCGACAAGGGAAGAUAAAAACUUCCUGUAUUUAAUAUGCCGAUUACUAUAAGCAAAGAUAAACUACCCUAGGGAUAACAGCGUAAUUCUAUAAGGAGUUUGCGACCUCGAUGUUGGACUAGGAAUUGGAGGGGCUAGCCGCCUCUUUUUAUUGUUCUGUUCGAACUUAAUUUCC
rnacentral:rRNA from 1 species